CAGGGAUUUCAUGAGCUUAAUGUCAAAUUGAUAAUCAUAGAAUUGUUAGGAUUAUUCAUCAUAUUCUACAUCAAGAAUGUUUAUCAUACAAGUUUCUAGAGUAAUCAGAAUAGCACGAGAGUGUGACUGAUUACCUUAACCUACAAUCGUAGUAUAUUUGGGAUGUGCGAGAGAAUGGUCAAUUACCUGAAGCUAAUUCUGUUGGACUAGAUUUUCAUACACAGCGAGAGUUGGUCUAGUAUAUUAUUUGGAAAUUAUCGA
rnacentral:lncRNA from 1 species